rnacentral:rRNA from 1 species
UGCAAGUCUGGUGCCAGCAGCCGCGGUAAUUCCAGCUCCAAUAGCGUAUAUUAAAGUUGUUGCCGUUAAAAAGCUCGUAGUUGAACCUUGGCCCUGGCUGAUCUGUCCUCCUAAUCGAGCGCACGGAUUCGGUCGGGGCUUUCCUUCUGGGGAGCCCCAUGCCCUUCACUGGGUGUGGCGGGGAACCAGGACUUUUACCUUGAAAAAAUUAGAGUGUUCAAAGCAGGCCUUUGCUCGAAUACAUUAGCAUGGAAUAAUAGAAUAGGACAUCGGUUCUAUUUUGUUGGUUUCUAGGACCGCUGUAACGAUUAAUAGGGACAGUCGGGGGCGUCAGUAUUCAAUUGUCAGAGGUGAAAUUCUUGGAUUUAUUGAAGACUAACUACUGCGAAAGCAUUCGCCAAGGAUGUUUUCAUUAAUCAGUGAACGAAAGUUAGGGGAUCGAAGACGAUCAGAUACCGUCGUAGUCUUAACCAUAAACUAUGCCGACUAGGGAUCGGACGGUGGUUUUUUUAUGCCCCGUUCGGCACCUUACGAGAAAUCAAAGUUUUUGGGCUCGGGGGGGAAGUAUGGUCGCAAGGCUGAAACUUAAAGGAAUUGACGGAA